rnacentral:lncRNA from 1 species
GAAACUCCGACUAUUUUCUGCCGUCGAAUUAAAGCCAACCAGAAAACCAUAGCCAAAAAAAUUAUAAAAAACAAUUGGGUUUUGGAAAAAUGGAGAUGGAGGUCGGAUUUAUCAAUUUGGGUGUUUGUUAUUGAGGUCAAGCCGAGGUAUUCUAGUGUUGUUCUAAUCAUCAUUCGAGUAAUGUGAUGAUUUGGAAUACAAUAAAGGUCCAAUUCCUUUUUCCCUCAUCUUUCUUAUGAUUUCAUGGAUUUGUGAUGAUUAUUUGUGCAAUAUUUUGUUAUUAUGGUUGUUUGGUUGCUUUUUUGGAAUUUUCUUAUGACAUUUUGAGGUUGUUCAUCCCUAUUUUGUGCUCUGUCAUUC